rnacentral:ncRNA from 1 species
GACUAGUUGGCAGUUUGACUGGGGCGGUCGUCUUUAAUAGAGUAGCAAAGUACAUCCAAAUAGAUUAAAAAAUUAAGAUCAUAUUUACUUUUUAAGUAAGGUUAAUAUUCUGACAAAUUAUUUUAUAUUGUAAAUUAUUAUUUUUAAUUAAUAAUUACUUUAAAAUCAAAUUUAAAAAAAUUCAUUAAUAAGGUAUGCUAGACAUUAAAUGGAGGUUAAUGAAUCAUGGAAGAUUCUGGAGAGUGCAAUGGCGGUAAGCAUGCUUAACUGAAAGACUUAAUAGUCGAACAGAUACGUAAGUAGGGCAUAGUGACCCCUUGCUAUAUUAUGGAAUAGACAGGGAUCAAUUGAUAAAAGUUACGCUGGGGAUAACAGCCUAAUAGCCAGCGAGAGUACACAUUGUCCUGGCUGUUUGGGACCUCGAUGUCGACUUAAUUUAUCCUCCAGGGGCAAAACCUUGGAAGGGUUCGGCUGUUCGCCGAUUAAAAAAUUACAUGAGUUGGGUUUAAUACGACGUGAGUCAGUAUGGUCCCUAUCCUUUUGAGGGACAAAUAGUAAAAAGGGGCAGACCUUCUAGUACGAAAGGACCAAUAGGCUGUGUUUCUCUAGUGUACCAAUUGUAAUAUUUCUUUAAUUUACAAAGAUUAAGAUGGAAACAACUGAUUAAAGUAAAUGAAAUAAAAUUUGCAUAGUUGGGUAGCCACAAACAUAUUAGAUAAUUACUGAAAGUAUAUCAAGUUCGAAUCUAUCCCCUAGAUACUAUCAAUGGAUUUCUCUUU